rnacentral:rRNA from 1 species
UGCCAGCCGCCGCGGUAAUACGGAGGGGGUUAGCGUUGUUCGGAAUUACUGGGCGUAAAGCGUACGUAGGCGGAUUAAUAAGUUAGAGGUGAAGUCCCAGGGCUCAACCCUGGAACUGCCUUUAAAACUGUUAGUCUUGAGAUCGAGAGAGGUGAGUGGAAUUCCAAGUGUAGAGGUGAAAUUCGUAGAUAUUGGAAGGAACACCAGUGGCGAAGGCGGCUAUCUGGACUGACAUUGACGCUGAGAUACGAAGGCAUGGGUAGCAAACGGGAUUAGAUA